rnacentral:rRNA from 1 species
UACAGAGGUCUCAAGCGUUGUUCGGAUUCAUUGGGCGUAAAGGGUGCGUAGGCGGCGCGGUAAGUCGGGUGUGAAAUCUCGGGGCUUAACUCCGAAACUGCAUUCGAUACUGCCGUGCUUGAGGACUGGGAGAGGAGACUGGAAUUUACGGUGUAGCGGUGAAAUGCGUAGAUAUCGUAAGGAAGACCAGUGGCGAAGGCGGGUCUCUGGACAGUUCCUGACGCUGAGGCACGAAGGCCAGGGGAGCAAACGGG